UACGUAGGGGGCAAGCGUUGUCCGGAAUCAUUGGGCGUAAAGCGCGUGUAGGCGGUUCGGUAAGUCUGCUGUGAAAGUCCAGGGCUCAACCCUGGGAUGCCGGUGGAUACUGUCGGACUAGAGUACGGAAGAGGCGAGUGGAAUUCCCGGUGUAGCGGUGAAAUGCGCAGAUAUCGGGAGGAACACCAAUUGCGAAGGCGGCAUCCUGGACCAACACUGACACUGAGGAGCGAAAGCCAGGGGAGCAAACGGG
rnacentral:rRNA from 1 species